rnacentral:sRNA from 1 species
AUUAGUUACGGUUUGAGUUGGGUUUGUUAAGGGUUAAUUAAAGUACUCAAGACCACUUACCGAAAGAGAUGCCAAGCAGGGAGCAAAUAAUUUUUGGUUCAAGGACUACUUUCAUACAAAUUGGGUAUACCGAAUCGGACUAUACUUAGACCAUUUUUGUGCAUUGCUUUGGUAAAGUUUCUUGGCCAAACUUUCGACACUUGUUUUUGUUGAUGUUUUUAUCUUCUGAGGCUGCAUCUUCUGCUGAAUCUGGAAUCCAUUCAAAUUGACGCAUUGACAAUUGUUUUACCAAUUUCAUCUCGCUUGUUUUUCGACAGUUGGCCAAAAAGUUUGUUCCCUCCAUUCCCCAACAACGUUUUGACAACUGCUAAGGCUGCUGCUGGUGGAAUUGGCAUUGUUGCUGCAUUUGUUGCAGAUUAAAGUUGCCGCUACCGUCUUCUUUUUCACUUUUCCUGCACUUUUCCCUUCUUUGCAUAGCCAGAGAGCUAGUUUAUCAAAACAUUUUCAAGUUGCAGUGCGGCUGCAAAAACAAAAGCACCCAAGACAUCAUCAUCGAUUUUCUCGAGUGGAAUGCGCCUCGAUGCGAAGUGGGGAUGUGGCUACAAGGAAAACAACUCAAUCUCAAUGCAUGGCACUUAAGCAGCUGAAGGAGCAGUGGCAACAGUGGCAGCCACUUGGUUGCAAGGUGCAGAUCCUGCCACGACAGCGGAAUGCAAUUUCUGGAGGGGCGCCAAAAAGGAAGGCAGACGUCGCUGCUUGUCGAAGGGUUUAUAAUCGAGUUUUAAAGACAUUUUAUGAUCCCUUUCCGUUAUUUACGAGUUCGCAUGCGUCAUAAAAGUCAGUUAGUUCUAGACAAAUUUUAGAAUGUGCAAUUUAAAUCUCAGGUUGGGUAUUUGCGUAAUGUGAAAAACUUCAACAACAAACAAUUUAGCCAUCCAUAGCCAUAUCACCUCUCUCAUUUAAUUCACUAAAAAGAAACUAAAGCCAGAAAGUUUGCUCAUUAUAAUUACGGCAAAGCACUGCACUUGGCAGCUGAUUUGGCUUAUAAAUACUCAUACAAUAAAUGCGCAUAUAUAAGCCAGAAAAUAUAUACUUUCAGAUCGAGGGGCGCCAAACUAAAUAGAUAGGCUUGAUUAUAAAAUUGAAUUUCCACUAAUACUUACCUGCAAAAAGGACUAUUUACUAAGACGUCUUGUACCCAUGUGAUUAAUAUUAUUAUUAGAUCUUCGCCAUAAACAAAUUCAUGUGUUUAAUUUGAUUUAGUGUUUGCUGUCAAGACCCGAGAGUUUUCACAAACACCCCGUAAAUAUAUUGCAGCUUCGCACAACUCCUCUGCCGCCCCUCGUGCACAAGCUAGUUCCGGAGCUGUGGCACCUCGAAGGACCUUAUCCCAUCCGAACGGGUUGCCACACGGAAGCGGGCCAGGCAAACGCUUGGCACGUGCAUUUCAUUUGAUAAAUGUUGUCGUUGUCGCCGUCGCCUUUGCCUGAUUAUGCAGCGCAGCCAGCUAUGUGUUUUCCCACUGCCCGACUGCCACCAACCGUUGUGGAGUCACCUGCCUCCUGCCUCGUGCCUCCUGGUCCUGCAUCCGCCGUGGAUGCCAAAAACUUGCCUCGACUUCCGUUAUGCAGGGUAUAUAACCGACUGGGUAUAUCUUUUUAUUGCACACGCGCGCUUGAAUAUAAACCGCAAAAAGGUGAGGAGCGGAGAGCCUUGGGUUUUUGUAUGCGGCAUCAGGUUUUGCCUGUGUGUAAAAUUUACACUGACAUGAGCUAACUAGUCCUGUUUUUGUCCCGGUGUGAGUGAGUAUCUCUAGGCUGUGUGUGUGUGUAUUUGUGCCGGGUGUGCGGUAUCUGUGUAUCUUUGCAAGCGGCACGUUGCCGUUGUAACUUGCAACUUAAAUGCGCACGUGAUGCGCUGCCUGCGCUUGCUUUAUUGCGUGAGCUGCUCGAAAAUUAACAAAGUUUUUCCUCAGGUUUCUCAAUUUUCAUUGUUUCUUUUUCAUUUGAUUCACUCAAAAAAAUCUUGGUAUGAAAAGUACCAGAGGUAAAACUCGAAACAAAUCAUGAAUUCCCAUUAAUACAAUUAAAUUUUUUCUUAUAUUCUAAAAGUGGUUUCACAUCAUAAUAGCACUGAUACAUUUCUCUCAGUGCAGCGCACAAUAUGAAUGAAGAUGCCAGCGAGACAAGUGCGAAUGAGCACGACCUGGCAUAAUAUCACGCAUACGACACGUUGUCGCAGCGAAUUUUUGAUAGCUACUGCAAUCAGCUAAGUGAACGACGGCAAUCAGGCCAACGGCAUAACAACAGCGAGGAAAAUGAUUAAACGGAAGCGGAAGCUGGCAGGCAGGCAGCAGAUUCGAGUUUUCCAACUUUCGAAUGACAUUUUUGCCAAUGCCAGAAGUCGAUGCAUUCGAAUUAUAAUCAGGUUGGCUUUGGGAAAACUAGCGAAAACCCGGAGCAAAAACUCGCGAACAGAAAUGGAAAGUCUACACAGACACCCACAUCCAGUGAGGAUGGGUGGAUAUCGAAAUCAAAUCACAGCAUCGUCAAAUGCAUUUAGAGCUAUUUGCAUUGCUUGGCAUUCCUUCUGCUCGCUGAUUCCUGCUCCUUGAUUCCAUCCGAUUCAGAUUCAGAUGCAGAUGCAGAGGCAGAAUCAGAUUCAGAUGCAAAGGCUGUGCGCCUUGGCAUGUGUCUCUAGAUAUUUUUCCUUUUGCCAUCGGCUUUUUUGCUGGUACGCUGCAUUGCAAAUUGAUUUUCAUCGCCUUGGGGACAUGCAUUCGUUUCGUUGACAGAUAUUCAGCGGGAAUUUUAUAGUUUGUUAGUUUCGACUCGAAAAUGUCAAAAAGUGUAAGACAGCUUUAGAAAACGAAUAUAGAAUGAGUUCUCAAUCAAAUUCUAAUUAACAAAUUUGACCACGUUUUAUCUGAAAUAGAGUUCAUAAAAUAUAGCAAUUUAAAAUUCUUCAAGAUUAUUUAGUGCAAUAAUUAUUUUAACUUUAACAACACGCACAUUUUUGUAUAUUUUUCAGGCGAUAUCCGUUUUCCUGUUGUUCAGAUAUCACAGAUCAAGCACUUCUUUUGUUAAUCAACAAAUGGCAGUCAUUUAAGCUUAACGCGUUUAAUGAACGCGUAUAAACAAAAUUAAGUGCCCGAGUUGGAUUUCGACCUGCAUUAUUAAUGAAGAUAAUAAAAAGCGUAAUGUGUUUGCAACUGAUUAUGGCAGCACAAAUGAAUCAGGAUGAAAAAAGACCAAUUGUAAUUCGAAGCAGAAUUCAAUGUUUUUUUUUAUUGUGUUAAUUAUUGAAAAUAAUUAUGCAUUAAUCGGCAACAAAUGUAUAAAUAAUUGCUGGGGCAAUUGGUUGUGCCUUGAAUAUUCCACAUACGACAUGUGCGCCAGCCAUAUGUUCUCAAUUUCGAUUUCCACGCAAUUUUAACGUGUUUGCGUAACUAAAUUUUGUUGAGCAACCAUUUGAUCUAUGUUCGAAAGUUUGUUAUAAUUUUAGUCUUUUGUUUCCCAAAGCCCGAAAAAGUUUGCCAGGAAAAACUGUUCUCAAAUUGAGCCACCAGCCACGUGUUCCUGACUAAAAACCAACAAGAAACUUCUUCUUUCAUCUGCUUUUAAUUGAACAUUUUUAAUUUAUGCACAAUAAAAACUGAUUUACCGCUAGCUACCCGUUCGGCUAGAAAAAGUU